GACGAACGCUGGCGGCGUGCUUAACACAUGCAAGUCGAACGGAAAGGCCCUGCUUUUGUGGGGUGCUCGAGUGGCGAACGGGUGAGUAACACGUGAGUAACCUGCCUUUGACUUUGGGAUAACUUCAGGAAACUGGGGCUAAUACCGGAUAGGAGCUCCUGCUGCAUGGUGGGGGUUGGAAAGUUUCGGCGGUUGGGGAUGGACUCGCGGCUUAUCAGCUUGUUGGUGGGGUAGUGGCUUACCAAGGCUUUGACGGGUAGCCGGCCUGAGAGGGUGACCGGCCACAUUGGGACUGAGAUACGGCCCAGACUCCUACGGGAGGCAGCAGUGGGGAAUAUUGCACAAUGGGCGGAAGCCUGAUGCAGCAACGCCGCGUGCGGGAUGACGGCCUUCGGGUUGUAAACCGCUUUCGCCUGUGACGAAGCGUGAGUGACGGUAAUGGGUAAAGAAGCACCGGCUAACUACGCG
rnacentral:rRNA from 1 species